rnacentral:rRNA from 1 species
GCAGUCGAACGGGAAUCUUCGGGUUCAAGUUUUCGGACAAGAACCUGUGGAGGAGAGUGGCGAAAGGGUGAGUAACGCGUGGGCAACCUGCCCUGAAGUUGGGGAUAACUACUCGAAAGGGUGGUUAAUACCGAAUGUGGUCUUCCGGCGCAUGUCGGGAUGACUGAAGGUGGGGAUUCCGGGCGCGCAAGCGCUUCGGGACCUGCCGCUUCAGGAGGGGCUCGCGUCCCAUCAGCUUGUUGGUGAGGUAACGGCCCACCAAGGCUUACGGGUAGCUGGUCUGAGAGGAUGGUCAGCCACACUGGGACUGAGACACUGCCCAGACUCCUACGGGAGGCUGCAGUCGAGGAUCAUUUGCAAUGCGCGAAAGCGUGACAAUGCGACGCUGCGUGGGGGAUGACGGCCUUCGGGUUGUAAACUCCUGUCAUGAGGGAAAAAUUGCCAUGGUGUUAAUACCACCAUGGCUUGAUGGUACCUCAAGAGGAAGCCACGGCUAACUCUGUGCCAGCAGCCGCGGUAAUACAGAGGUGGCGAGCGUUGUUCGGAUUUACUGGGCGUAAAGGGUGCGUAGGUGGUUUCGUAAGUCGGAUGUGAAAUCCCAUUGCUCAACGGUGGAACUGCAUUCGAA